CGCAGGGGAAGAGCCUCUCAUCAUUGUGAACGUGACGCUGGUGGAUCUUCAGGUUGCAUCGGUUGACGAAGGUCUGCUGACAGACGUCGCAGCGGAACGUGGUGUCCGUCUGGACUCCGUGGCUGACUUUCAAGUGUUUCAGACUGGACCCAGGAGGAUCCUGGGAAAUGGAGUUUUUUAAAAUGACUGGAUGCCUGAAUCAGAAUGAGCUUUUGACUGGUGGCAUUCUCAUGCUGGAGGGUCAUGUCAGGAUGAGCCUGCAGGAAGGGUACUACAUGAGGGAGGAGGAUGCCUUGCCUGCAAUGACAACAAGCUCAGUCCGAUGAUGCUGUGACACAUCGCCCUAGACCAUGACGGACCCUCCACCUCCAAAUCGAUCCCGCUCCAGAGUACAGGUCUCUGUGUAACGCUCAUUCCUUCGACGAUAAAUGCGAGUUCAACCAUCACCCCUGGUGAGACAAAACCGUGACUUGUCAAUGAAGAGCACUUUUUGCCAGUCUUGUCUGUUCCAGCAAAGGUGGGUUUGUGCCCAUAGGCGACGUUGUUGCCGGUGAUGUCUGGUAAGGACCUGCCCUACAACAGGCCUACAAGCCCUCAGUCCAGCCUCUCUCAGCCUAUUGCGGACAGUCUGAUCACUGAUGGAGGGAUUGUGCGUUCCUGGUGUAACUCGGGCAGUUGUUGUUGCCAUCCUGAACCUGUCCCGCAGGUGUGAUAUUCAGAUGUACCAAUCCUGUGCAGGUGUUACACGUGGUCUGCCACUGCGAGGACGAUCAGCUGUCCUUCCUGUCUCCCUGUAGUGCUGUCUUAGGCGUCUCGCAGUAUGGACAUUGCAAUUUAUUGCCCUGGCCACAUCUGCAGUCCUCAUGCCUCCAUGCAGCAUGCCUAAGGCACGUUCACGCGGAUGAGCAGGGACCCUGGGCAUCUUUCUUUUGGUGUUUUUCAGAGUCAGUAGAAAGGUCUCUUUAGUGUCCUAAGUUUUUAUAACUCUGACCUUAAUUGCCUACAGGUGCAUGUUCAUUAAUUGUUUAUGGUUCAUUGAACAAGCAUGGAAAACAUUGUUUAAACCCUUUACAAUAAAGAUAU